AAUUCUUUGAGAUGGGACUAGGCAGAGUUUUGUGUUACUUUACUCUAGCAAUCUUCAUUCAAUAUUCCUGCAGUCAGACACUGAUCGAGUCUGAUCCAGUGAUCAUCAAACCUGAUCAGUCUCAUAAAUUGACCUGCACAGCAUCUGGAUUUAACUUUGGUGGCUCACAUAUGGGUUGGAUCAGACAGGCGCCUGGAAAAGGGCUGAAAUGGGUUGCAUGGAUCUCAAGUGGCAGUAGUAGAAUAUAUUACUCCAGCACUUGUUCAGGACCGCUUCACCAUCUCCAGAGACAACAGUAAGAAGCAGGUGUAUCUGCAGAUGAACGUGAGGACAAAAGACACUGCAGUUUAUUACUGCGUCCGUGAACCACACAGUGAUACUUCCCCUUAGACAUCAGUACAAAAACACAGACUUAAUAUAGACACAUGACAAACCCACAUUUUCAGAUUCAUGGAGGUGAAAGAACCAAAAUGUUUACAGUGUCUCUGACUUACAUGCUUCAACUUGUUGACUUUUACUGGACUGUUCUGAACAUUGUCUGGACAUUUAUACUGAUGAAAGAUUUUUAAUUCACUUCUCAAUAUGCUGUAUUUGCACUCAUAUGAAAAAGAAAGUGCACCCUCUUGAAUUCCUGGUUUAACUAUUUACUCACUCACUCACUCACUCUCACUUUCUACCGCUUAUCCGAGUUUAACUGUUUAGAUAUAAUAAAAGUUCAUCCAGUGUUUAGCAGGUCUUCAAAUUAGGUAAUAAAUCCUCAGAUGAACAAAAACAAAUGACAUACA